rnacentral:rRNA from 2 species
AAUCCAUAGGUUAAUGAGGCGAACCGGGGGAACUGAAACAUCUAAGUACCCCGAGGAAAAGAAAUCAACCGAGAUUCCCCCAGUAGCGGCGAGCGAACGGGGAGGAGCCCAGAGCCUGAAUCAGCAUGUGUGUUAGUGGAAGCGUCUGGAAAGGCGCGCGAUACAGGGUGACAGCCCCGUACACAAAAGCGCAUGUGCUGUGAGCUCGAUGAGUAGGGCGGGACACGUGGUAUCCUGUCUGAAUAUGGGGGGACCAUCCUCCAAGGCUAAAUACUCCUGACUGACCGAUAGUGAACCAGUACCGUGAGGGAAAGGCGAAAAGAACCCCGGCGAGGGGAGUGAAAAAGAACCUGAAACCGUGUACGUACAAGCAGUGGGAGCACCCUUCGGGGUGUGACUGCGUA